GAUCAUCACUUGGACAACUAGGUGGGAUGUCAAUUUCUGUUGCAGAGCUAAGACAUUAUGCUACAUGAGUUAUACCUAUGAAUUUUUUUCUAUGUUUAUCUGUUGCAUGAUGAUGUAAAAUGUUAAACACUUUUCAAAAGCACCUGAAGAACAAUCAACUAAAUUGCACCCAAUAACCCCAUGCCUCAGCUUACCUUCUGUGAAGUGCCCUUGCUCUCAUCUCUGGGGCAUACCAGAGAGACAAAUUCAUAAUGGCUGUGGAACAAUCGUUGUAAAAUACAUCAUCACAGAAACUUCCAGCAGCUCUAGGUUCCUUAUAAAGUGUCUUAGAAGCUCAUGUCCAUAGUGCACUCUAAAAUGUGAUGGUUCAUCCUAGGGUAUUGGCCUAUGAAAGCCUUCCUGGCUCUCCACACUGCUGCCAACUCCAUCUCCAUCACUGCUCUUUUUCUCUCUGAGAAUGGAUAAGCCAUGCAAGGAGUCAUUAAGAUAAAACAAAUCUGGGGCCUGUUAAGCUCAGUUAAAUGGGGUAACCACUUUGAAGUGUAAGGAAAGGAGUUACAAGUUCAGUUCCUGCCUACUGUCAUUGUUUUACUUCAGCCGAGACUCUAAUCCUAGCUUCUACAGAAACUGAGUGUGAUGGAUUGAAUCCUGGGGUUUAUUUUCAUUUUUGUUUGGUUUUGGUUGUUUGGUGUUUCUUUUUUAAAGGGUGUUAAUGCUUCCCAUUUAGUCUUAAACUAGCGUAUCCUGAGAAUAUUACACACAGAAAUUUCCCACACAUGCAGUUAAAUGCCCAGGUACAUCUUUGAAUCAAAGUUAAUAGAUAGAAGCAAGGGAAAGUGAGGUGAAAAGGACUGAAGUGAACUGAUUUAAUCAAGAAGGGAUGAGAAGUUGCUGAGUGGUACAAGACCACAUUAUCGGCUCCAUUUGCUCUCCUGCACUAAAAUCCCACCGAUCUAGAAGAGCUGUUAAUCAGAUGCACAAGCAAGAGGGCACAUGCCAUCCAUGAUGUCUCCAAGAAACCUUACAAGUAUUAGAAAUGUGCUUGAUUGUGAUUGCUACUUAACCAUUAUUUCCUUCAGCUCCUCACAGCUUUAGUAUGUAUCUGUUUCUUCAUCUAAGGUUAGUAGCCAAGUGGCCCCUGAGUGUAGCCCAUGCACACGGUGCGUAGCAGGGGGAGACCUUAGCUUUGAAGACCUUCCAUGGUUGAGGUAAAAAGGAAUAGUUACAGUGUGUGCUCAAGCUGUUUAAUAAGUAAUUUUCCACUUUUUUUUUUCAUAGGAACCAUUUGGUAUUCUUGUCCUAUUGAUACAUGCUUUGGUAAAAUUCAAGACUCUCAGCAGGUUGAUAGCAGUGUUUCUCAGCAGCAGCCAGUGAGGAGCUGAUGGGGAUCACAGUCUAUACAUGCUCUGUAAGCUGAUCACGGACAAGAGCUAGGCAUGCAUUCCCAUGCACAAAAGCACGGGGUCUGGACAUACAUAAGCAGAAGGAAGGAUUUGUCUUCCCUUUCCUUAGCAGCCUCUUGUAUCGCCUCCUUCAGGGCAGGCUUUGGACUGAAAUUGCAGUACCAGAACUCAAGUUUUAUCCC